rnacentral:rRNA from 1 species
UACGUAGGGGGCAAGCGUUAUCCGGAAUCACUGGGCGUAAAGGGUGCGUAGGCGGUCGACAAAGUCUGGGGUGAAAGGCUACGGCUCAACCGUAGUAAGCCUUGGAAACUUGUUGACUUGAGUGCAGGAGAGGUAAGUGGAAUUCCUAGUGUAGCGGUGAAAUGCGUAGAUAUUAGGAGGAACACCAGUGGCGAAGGCGACUUACUGGACUGUAACUGACGCUGAGGCACGAAAGCGUGGGGAGCAAACA